AGAGCCCCCAGCCUCUGCGCCGCGGGCCGGGACGAGCGCCCGGGCCCACGGCCUCCGCGCCUACCUUUCGGACUUGGUGAACUUCCGGAAUGCCUGUCGGAGGUCGUGGAAGGACCUGUACGUCUGCGGCUCGGCCGAGAUGCCCUGCGCCCGGGUGGUCCGGGGGCCGAUGUGGGUCGAGGGCACUGGGAGCACCGACUGGCAUUUGUGGAGUUUCCUCUUCAGCUCCUGAAUUUCUUCCUCCUUCUCUGACAGCCGCUUCUCCAGCUCUUUGAUCCUCUCCUCCUUGAGCAUGAGAAUCUUGGCAAAGUCUUCCUCUAGCUCGCUCAUUUUUUCACUGAGCCCCUCCGCGAAACUUUUUCUCGGGCGGCGGCGGCGGCGGCGGCGGCGGCGGCGGCUGGGACGGCAGCCGGCAGCGGAGAGCGCGGGUGAGCGAGUGAAUGGGCGCUAAGUACUCGAGCGCGGCGGAGUGCGCCCCUAAUGCGGCGCGGGGAGCCUCCUGCUUCGAUCCGCUUCUGCUGAAUGGACUAAAAGCACCGAGGGGAGGAUGAGAAGUCUAAAAGCGAUGGAGAGGAGAGGCAGAGUGCUAAUCUCCAGCCUCUCUGGGGAGUAGGUGAUUA
rnacentral:lncRNA from 10 species